UUGUCUCAAAGAUUAAGCCAUGCAUGUCUCAGUACAAGCCAAAUUAAGGUGAAACCGCGAAAGGCUCAUUAAAUCAGUUAUGGUUCCUUAGAUCGUACCAACAUUUACUUGGAUAACUGUGGUAAUUCUAGAGCUAAUACAUGCAAACAGAGCUCCGACCGGAGACGGAAGGAGCGCUUUUAUUAGAUCAAAACCAAUCGGCGGCGGGUCCCUCGCGGGCUCGUCGUCGUAUGCAUUGACGAAUCUGAAUAACUUUCUGCUGAUCGCACGGUCUCGCACCGGCGACGCAUCUUUCAAAUGUCUGCCUUAUCAACUGUCGAUGGUAGGUUCUGUGCCUACCAUGGUUGUAACGGGUAACGGGGAAUCAGGGUUCGAUUCCGGAGAGGGAGCCUGAGAAACGGCUACCACAUCCAAGGAAGGCAGCAGGCGCGCAAAUUACCCACUCCCGGCACGGGGAGGUAGUGACGAAAAAUAACGAUACGGGACUCAUCCGAGGCCCCGUAAUCGGAAUGAGAACAAUUUAAAUCCUUUAACGAGGAUCAAUUGGAGGGCAAGUCUGGUGCCAGCAGCCGCGGUAAUUCCAGCUCCAAUAGCGUAUAUUAAAGUUGUUGCGGUUAAAAAGCUCGUAGUCGAAUCUGUGUCCCGCGCCGCCGGUUCGCCGCUCGCGGUGUUUAACUGGCGUGUUCGCGGGACGUCCUGCCGGUGGGCUCAGCCCUUUCGCGAGGGCGGCCCAAUCAUAAUCCUGCCGCGGUGCUCUUCACCGAGUGUCGAGGCGGGCCGGCACGUUUACUUUGAACAAAUUAGAGUGCUUAAAGCAGGCUCAAACUGCGCCUGAAUACUUCGUGCAUGGAAUAAUGGAAUAGGACCUCGGUUCUAUUUUGUUGGUUUUCGGAACCCCGAGGUAAUGAUUAAUAGGAACGGAUGGGGGCAUUCGUAUUGCGACGUUAGAGGUGAAAUUCUUGGAUCGUCGCAAGACGGACAGAAGCGAAAGCAUUUGCCAAAGA
rnacentral:rRNA from 1 species